AUUGAACGCUGGCGGCAUGCCUUACACAUGCAAGUCGAACGGCAGCACGGGAGCAAUCCUGGUGGCGAGUGGCGAACGGGUGAGUAAAGUAUCGGAACGUGCCCAGUCGUGGGGGAUAACGUAGCGAAAGUUACGCUAAUACCGCAUACGAUCUAUGGAUGAAAGCGGGGGAUCGCAAGACCUCGCGCGAUUGGAGCGGCCGAUAUCAGAUUAGGUAGUUGGUGGGGUAAAGGCUCACCAAGCCGACGAUCUGUAGCUGGUCUGAGAGGACGACCAGGCACACUGGGACUGAGACACGGCCCAGACUCCCACGGGAGGCAGCAGUGGGGAAUUUUGGACAAUGGGCGCAAGCCUGAUCCAGCCAUGCCGCGUGCAGGAUGAAGGCCUUCGGGUUGUAAACUGCUUUUGUACGGAACGAAAAGGUUUGGCUUAAUACGUUGAACUCAUGACGGUACCGUAAGAAUAAGCACCGGCUAACUACGUGCCAGCAGCAGCCGCAG
rnacentral:rRNA from 1 species